rnacentral:misc_RNA from 1 species
GUAUCUCGUCUGAUCUGAGGUCUUGAUUGGUCUCGGGAAUUUGAUGAAAAACACCAAACACUCGAUCCUUCCAGUCGAUCUCGUAGAGAGGGCUUUGUCUCUUUCGAAGCACCGUCUUCCAGGUGAGAUAUUACUACCACACCGAGAGGGACGGGCCACGAAAGGGCUUCCGCACAACUCGGGAUCGCUCUACUUCAAGGGACCGUUCGCUUUGCAGCAAAGGGACACCUCAUUGCCCGAACACCUUACGGUGACGGAUGUGAGAAACGACGCUCAGACAGGCGUGCUCCUGGGAAUACCCAAGGGCGCCAUUUGCGUUCAAAGAUUCGAUGAUUCACAAAAUUCUGCAAUUCACAUUACUUAUCGCAGUUUGCUGCGUUCUUCAUCGAUGCACGAGCCAAGAGAUCCACCGUUAAAAGUUGUUCGCUUUUAGGCAACUCUCGUUCAAGAAGAAUCUUGUCCGAGGAUUUGAUACGUUAAGGCAUUGAGAGGGGUUUGCGUGGGAAAAAAACUAAUUCGGGGCACGCCAAGAUAAACCGAAGUUUACCCUUCCCACAGGCGAUUUAACGACACUAGGCCGACCCCGAAGAACAGCAUCAAGUAUACCGCUAAGGCAGGUAAGAUUGGAUUCGUUAAUGAUCCUUCCGCAGGUUCACCUACGGAAACCUUGUUACGACUUUUACUUCCUCUAAAUGAUCAAGUUUGAACAAGUUCUCGGCGGCACCAUUCCUUGCGGCACGGCAUCGCCAAUCCCGAGAUCUCACUAAACCAUUCAAUCGGUAGUAGCGACGGGG